rnacentral:rRNA from 1 species
GACGAACGCUGGCGGCGUGCCUAAUACAUGCAAGUAGAACGCACAGUUUAUACCGUAGCUUGCUACACCAUAGACUGUGAGUUGCGAACGGGUGAGUAACGCGUAGGUAACCUGCCUGGUAGCGGGGGAUAACUAUUGGACACGAUAGCUAAUACCGCAUAAUAUUGAUUAUUGCAUGAUAAUUGAUUGAAAGAUGCUAUUGCAUCACUACCAGAUGGACCUGCGUUGUAUUAGCUAGUAGGUGAGGUAACGGCUCACCUAGGCGACGAUACAUAGCCGACCUGAGAGGGUGAUCGGCCACACUGGGACUGAGACACGGCCCAGACUCCUACGGGAGGCAGCAGUAGGGAAUCUUCGGCAAUGGACGAAAGUCUGACCGAGCAACGCCGCGUGAGUGAAGAAGGUUUUCGGAUCGUAAAGCUCUGUUGUAAGAGAAGAACGGGUGUGAGAGUGGAAAGUUCACACUGUGACGGUAUCUUACCAGAAAGGGACGGCUAACUACGU